GCAGAUUUGGAGCUACCUGCGCUCUUCCCAAAUCCCUAUGCAUUAUUAAACAAAUGAAGGUUAUUUAGUUUCUCCAAUGGCCAUGAGAGACUAAAUAACCUCCAUUUGUUUAAAUAUGCAUAGGGAUUUGGGAAGAGCGCGGGUAACUUUUUUCUU